GACGAACGCUGGCGGCGUGCUUAACACAUGCAAGUCGAGCGGUAAGGCCUCGGGUACGACGAGCGGCGACGGUAGGAGUAACAACGUGGGUGGACCUCGCCCUUACGUCUCUGGGAGUAAGACCUCGGGAAACGUAGGGUCGUAAUAACCGGACGUAUGACCUCAUGACGCAUGUUGUUGGGGUGGGAAAGGACCUUCGUUGCGGCGUAGGGAGUGGGCCCGGCCGGCCGUACUCAGCUU
rnacentral:rRNA from 1 species